rnacentral:rRNA from 1 species
CCUACGGGCGGCAGCAGUGAGGAAUAUUGGUCAAUGGGCGCGAGCCUGAACGAGCAAAGUAGCGUGAAGGAUGACUGCCCUACGGGUUGUAAACUUCUUUUAUAAAGGAAUACAGUGAGGCACGUGUGCCUUUUUGUAUGUACUUUAUGAAUAAGGAUCGGCUAACUCCGUGCCAGCAGACGCGGUAAUACGGAGGAUCCGAGCGUUAUCCGGAUUUAUUGGGUUUAAAGGGAGCGUAGAUGGGUUGUUAAGUCAGUUGUGAAAGUUUGCGGCUCAACCGUAAAAGUGCAAUUGAUACUGGCAGUCUUGAGUACAGUUGAGGUAGGCGGAAUUCGUGGUGUAGCGGUGAAAUGCUUAGAUAUCACGAAGAACUCCGAUUGCGAAGGCAGCUUACUAAACUGCCACUGACAUUGAUGCUCGAAAGUGUGGGUAUCAAACAGGAUUAGAUACCCGGGUAGUC